GUAUAGCUCAGUCGGUAGCAUGAGACUCCUAAUCUCAGCGCCAUGGGUUCAAACCCCGCUUUGGGCG